rnacentral:pre_miRNA from 1 species
UGUAGGAUUGAUGGUCAAAUGGUAAUUCUGUUUGACCUUUUGAAGAACUUGUAGAUUUUUUUCCAAAGCAGCUGUAUCAUUUUACAUUCCCACCAACAGU